ensembl:snRNA U1 U1 spliceosomal RNA
AUACUUACCUGUCAGGGGAGAUACCAUGAUCACGAAGCUGGUUUCCCAGGGCGAGGCUUGUCCAUUUUGCUCUGGAUGUGCUGACCCUUGCGAUUUCCCCAAAUGUGGGAAACUCGACUGCAUGAUUUGUGGUAGUGGGGGACUCCAUUCACGCUUUCCCCUG